rnacentral:misc_RNA from 1 species
GAGAUUCACUGACACCAUCCCUGACAUUUUCAAAAGGGGCCAAUAGCAAAACCGUCAAAGAAGUGUACAAAGUUCACUGCUACGUGACAAUGUUAGGCAGGUGGAACACACGGUAGUGGUAAUAACAACAAACGAUGGAACAAGAGAAAUAUCAAGAGCUACUCCUCAUGCCCAAGAGUUAGGUCAGCUACAUGAAUCCUCUAAAACAAUAGAUAAACGGGAUAAAAAUGGCAGAAAAUGAGGUAGAACCAUAA